UUUUUUUAUAUAUAAAAAUAAAAUUAUAAAAUAUAAUUUUAUAUAUAAAUAUAAUUUUAAUUAUUAUAUGUAUUAAAAAUUUAAGUAUAAUAUUUUUUAUUUUUAAAAUUUAAUUAUGUAAAUACUAAAUGGUAAUAAUAAUUAUUUUUCAAAUUUCUGUUCAUGCCACUGGACCGGCCAGGGGGCAGUGAACAGUUUGUUCGACACCAUGGGUGCCGAAGAAGCUGAUGAACUGGCAGUUCGACACUCAUGGUGUCGAACUCCCCAUUGUUCGACACUAUGAGUGUCGAACUAGCGUGUUCGACAGUAUGACUGUCGAACACGCUCCGUUGACACACAGAAUCCGAAAAUAUUUUCGGAUUCUACAUGAACUGAUAAUUAUUUUUUAAAUUGUGCAUGAAUCGAAAAAAUGCUCUU
rnacentral:lncRNA from 1 species